GAAUGCCGGCAGAGGACAUCAGGCACCCAGAAAAGCAACCCAACUCUUCGAAAGGAGGUUUAAAGAAAGAAAUAAAUUUACACUGAAAUUUGAAGAUUGGAAUAGAGCAAGAAAACAAGGAAGCCAAGAAUAGACGUAACAAGACAAACCCUAUUUCCUUGCUGUGGAACAGUGACAGGCACCAGCUGAUUUAUGUUCUUGAGCUCUGACAACCACACAAAGAGAAACUAAUGGCUGACAGGUCAAUUGACAAGGUAAUCCAACAGACCUGACUCAUUGGAAAAGACCCUGAUGCUGGGCAAGAUUGAAGGCAGGAGGAGAAGG